ACGAACGCUGGCGGCGUGCUUAACCCAUGCAAGUCGCACGGAAAGGCCCUGCUUUUGUGGGGUGCUCGAGUGGCGAACGGGUGAGUAACACGUGAGUAACCUGCCCUUGACUUUGGAAUAACUUCAGGAAACUGGGGCUAAUACCGGAUAGGAGCUCCUGCUGCAUGGUGGGGGUUGGAAAGUUUCGGCGGUUGGGGAUGGACUCGCGGCUUAUCAGCUUGUUGGUGGGGUAGUGGCUUACCAAGGCUUUGACGGGUAGCCGGCCUGAGAGGGUGACCGGCCACAUUGGGACUGAGAUACGGCCCAGACUCCUACGGGAGGCAGCAGUGGGGAAUAUUGCACAAUGGGCGGAAGCCUGAUGCAGCAACGCCGCGUGCGGGAUGACGGCCUUCGGGUUGUAAACCGCUUUCGCCUGUGACGAAGCGUGAGUGACGGUAAUGGGUAAAGAAGCACCGGCUAACUACGUG
rnacentral:rRNA from 1 species